rnacentral:lncRNA from 1 species
UAUAAAAGCAAUUUCCAUUCUGUUGUGUUCUUUUUGCAGAUGGUGAUCUGAAACAGUUAACAGUGAUAACUCUUCGCUUUACUUAUUUGUGACUUAUCACUGCUGCAGAUGGAGAAACAGAACUUAUGGAUUACUUUCUAUUCCCUGAUUCUGAGCUGAGACUUCUCCUUAGACAAUACCUUGGCUUUCAUAUUUACGUCUCUAGUGCCGGAUGGUAGCUUGUGUUCAUGUGUGUACUAGAUUUGUACCUGUAAUAGUCAAGCACAACACUAUAUUUAAUAAUAACUGGUACCUACAGAGACCAAUGAACCUGAUUUUUAAGGCAAAAUUUGGAGCAAACCCAAAUACUGUUUGAAGAAUGUAUCUGUCUUGUCCAAUUUUGAAUACCCAUGAGUACACAUGAGUUCAACAGAGAUUGAGCCAAGGGGGUGACUCUAUUGGGGCUGAACUGCUAGGCUCCUGCCUGCUCUUGGGGAUUGUAUAAUCAAGCAG